rnacentral:rRNA from 1 species
AUUGAACGCUGGCGGCAUGCUUUACACAUGCAAGUCGAACGAGUGGCGGACGGGUGAGUAACGCAUCGGAACGUACCUGGUAAUGGGGGAUAACUGCUGGAAAGGGUAGCUAAUACCGCAUAUCAUUCGAUCUGCCCAUGUGUGAUUAGCUGGUUGGCGGGGUAAAGGCUCACCAAGGCGACGAUCAGUAGCGGGUCUGAGAGGAUGAUCCGGCAAACUGGGACUGAGAAACGGCCCCGAAUCCUAAGGGAGGCAGCAGGGGGGAAUUUUUGACAAUGGGGGGAAGCCUGAUCGAGCCAUGCCGCGUGGCUGAAGAAGGCCUUCGGGGUGUAAAGGAAUUUUGACAGGGAAGCGGUACCUGAAGAAUAAGCACCGGCUAACUACGUUCCAGCAGCCGCGGUAAUUC